GUAGUCCUAGCCGUAAACGGUGCAUGUUUGCUGUAAAAGGAAUCGACCCCUUUUGUGGCGGAGCCAACGCGUUAAACAUGCCGCCUGGGAAGUACGGUCGCAAGAUUAAAACUCAAAGAAAUUGACGGGGGCCUGCACAAGCGGUGGAGUAUGUGGCUCAAUUCGAUGCAACGCGAAGAACCUUACCUGGCCUUGACAUGUACCUAGUAGAAGGGUGAAAGCCUGACGAGAUAGCAAUAUCAGGGUACACAGGUGCUGCAUGGCUGUCGUCAGCUCGUGUCGUGAGAUGUUGGGUUAAGUCCCGCAACGAGCGCAACCCUUGUGUCCUGUUGCCACCCGAUCGUAAGAUCGGAGCACUCUGGACAGACUGCCUCGCUUAAACGAGGA
rnacentral:rRNA from 1 species